UAACUUUUUCCCGGUGUAAAGAACACAUACUCUGUAAGCUCACAUUUAGUGAAAAUUUUCAUUCCCUCCAAAGCUCAGAAGUCACCCUUUCAGUAGAGAAGAAAACCCUCCAAGUCCAAAACAUGAAGAAAACCCUUUCAGGAAACCCUGCCUCCUGCACUGCGCGAAGAUCGUAAAGCCUCACCGUCGCGAAGAUCAUCACACCCCAGUCCCCACUCACCACUCAGCGCCACACCGUCGUGAAGAUCGUGAAGCUUACACCGUCGUGAACCCUCCUGCACUGAUCGUCGCGCGCCCAUACCAUUGUCAAUCUCUGCGCUUCUCGUCGUCCUCUCUGUGCUUACGUCAUCGAUUAGAUAAGUAUUAAUUUCCAUUUGAUUCUAAAAUUUGAGGGGUUUAGGGUCCGAUUUUAGAAAACUAUUGAGAUCGAUGUACCGAGUUAUAAAUUCCUCUUCUUUCUUAGAAGACUGUACGAAGUUGAUAUGAAGCCCUAGCUUGGCAAGUCUAUCUACGCAGAAAUUUUCCUCUCUCCCAGUCUCUAGCUAAGAGGUCGUGAGACUCAUCAAUAAGAAGUCCAUUGGGCUAAAGCUCUCUAUCCGCCGAGUUGCUGAUGCCCGAGGGGCUACUACGCUCACCGCGCACUUGCAUCACCACCUGAGCUUCGCUACCACUUCGGCUCUACGACCUUGCAAGGUGCUACUGUAGUGCUCUUUUGGCCUGUCGCUUUCUCAAUCGCUUGUCAUUUGAUUAUAGAAACAUCACAAGAAGUAGUGCUCACAGCCACCAACCCAGCCUCUACCAUCAUCUUCUAUCCGGUUGGGGCAAUUAGAGCAGAGGCUGUUGUGCCAACACAGGAAGGGACUUGUCUAAGAUAUCUUUUAUGAGUUGGUGUAAUGCACAAGGGACUUGUCUGAGAUAUAUUAUACCCAGUGUUUGGCUAUUUCGUUAUUCGUGGUUAAGAUUGAAGGCAAAAGUUUUUGGUUAAGGUCUUCCAAGCAGAUUUUGUCAAAACGUUGAUCAUGUCAUGGCAAGGAAUAAGGAAUUUAUUGAUCUUAAAGCUACAUCAAGUAAGAAUUUGCUUGGACAAUUUGAGGCUAAGAGACAAAGGAUUGUAACUGAACGCAAAAAAUAUGAAAUGGAAGCUGCAGCUGCUAAUGACAAGGAGAAAUCUGAGCGAAGGGUGGAUGAACCAGAAAGUCAAUUGGAGAUGUGUGGAACCAAAGGGCAGAAGAAAUCCACGUUAAAGAAGCUGGAUUUUAGUCAUCUGCAAAGCACAUUCGAUUCUAUUAGCAAAAGGACUAAUUCUACGUCUACCACCUUGGAAGUACAGCCAAACAUUCCUUUGCAACAGCUAGAAAAUAAAAAGAGAAAGGAGCUAUUGACUAUGCCUACUGCUGAGAAAGUCAAGAAUGGAGUGUAGGGUGGAAAAUCAACACAAGGCUUGAAGAAGUCUAAGCCUACAAACAUGGAGGCAGAUGAACUUACAAGGAAGCUCGAAGCAAUUCGUAAAAGGAACAGCAACGUGUCGACAAGUCUAUGCCAAGAGCGGAGUUGUCCAAGUUCUACUCAACUCAAAAUCAACCAAGGGCAGUAGCAGAAUAUUCAACUCACAGAUGAAGAGACUCAAACAGGGCAAGAUGAUACAACUUUGCCUUCUCCUGAAACUACCCCACAAAAUGAAAGUGCAAUGUUGGAGCAAGGAAUAUCAACAAAGGGUAAGAGGAUGCCAGGAGUAAAGGCUACAACAAUUGACGAAUUCUUAAAGGAAAAUUGGAUAGAUGUGGAAAUUGAAGGACCAAGCACUGCACUAAGUGAGGACGGGGAAGAAAGCAUGGCACUUGAUAAAGACUAUUAUCAACAUGUGAUGGAGGACAUUGAUGAUGAAGAAGGAGAGCCAAAGGACUAUGAAACAGCGGAAAGAAGUCACUUUUGAUAUUGGACAGCCCGUAGGACCAACCGACCAAAGUGUUUCUAAUUUAACUAGUUUUGUUGGCACUAUUUGUAGAAAUAAAAGAUUCGUUAGUCUUUUGUACACUAGUUGGCAUGUUGUUCCUUCUAAAGCUAAGAAGUUCAUGUGGGACUAUGUUAACACCAAGUUUAUCCUCCCAGACAAUGGAGAAAAGUGGGUAAUGCAAGCAAUUCGAGAUGCUUGGAAGCGGUUUAAAGGAAAGAUUAAGCAAAAGCACUUCGUUCCCUAUGAUACUAUUGAAGAUAUGGUGAAGAAUCGACCCCCACAAGUACCAGAAAGUGGUUUCAUAAAAUUGAUCUAUUAUUGGAGUCAUCCUCUAAUCCAGUAACUAUAGGCUAACUUUUCAUUCACUUCCAAUCAAUAAGUCAAAGAAACAAGCAACACAAGAAAAAACAGAAGUUUCCACAUCGCAUGGGGCCAAUUAAUUUCGGAAGAGUACGAGUGGCUAUGUGAGCAACAAAGGAAACAAACAAGGAACCAAAAAAGUUUGAGAUGUUCAUUGCUACCCGAACAAGUCGGAAGAGGAAAGAAGUGGAUGAGGAAACACAGACUGCUGUUGAAGACUUCCAACACUGCCAAGCUGCUGGUGAAACAGAAGAGGAAGUAUUUGAGGCCUUAUUCGGGAAAGAACAACCAGGUCGGGUAAGGUUGUAUGGAAGAUCUAUGACAAAAACUGAUUUAAAAAAUCAUGCUGAAAUUAAUGAAAUAAAAAAUCAGCACAAAGAGGAAAUGUCCAGUCUGAAGGAUGAACUUGGACACAUGGAGGCCCAACAGCAAAAAAAAAGAGGCCAAACAGCAAAAAUAAGAGGAAGAGAUUCAUGGGUUGUGAAAUAUGAUCAAGUUAAUACUGCAGCGAUCGGAACCUGGAAUGAGGCCAGAAGAACUAGAAGCUUUAUUACAAGAUGCCUAACAGUCUCCGAUUGAUGCGAAUAGCGGCCAUGGAUCAACUGAUUUUCCGAACUUAGAUGUGGGUAACAAUGAAGAUUAAGCAAUGAAGAUUAAGCUGAUUAUUAUUGUGGUUUAUUGGCUAAGAUAGAGUGCUAUUUAGAAUCUUUACAUGUAUGGUUGACUAAUGACUUUUAUUAGAAGAUACUUUUAUUGGCUAAGUGAUAUUAUGGUUUUGAUAUGGCUAUGCUUACUUUAGUGUGA